rnacentral:sRNA from 1 species
GCCAGGCAUGGUGUUGCACGCCUGUAAUCCCAGCAGCUUGGGAGGCUGAGGUAGGAGCAUCACAAGUUCAAAGCCAACCUCAGCAACUUUAGCAAGACCCUGUCUCAA